rnacentral:rRNA from 1 species
UACGUAGGAGGCGAGCGUUGUCCGGAAUUACUGGGCGUAAAGAGCGCGUAGGCGGCGCGAUACGUCCGAUGUGAAAGCCCCCGGCUCAACUGGGGAGGGUCAUCGGUAACGGUCGUGCUAUGAGUGCAGGAGAGGGAAGUGGAACUCUUGGUGUAGCAGUGAAAUGCGUAGAUAUCAAGAGGAACACCAGUGGCGAAGGCGAGUCCCUGGACAACUUCUGACGCUGAGGCACGAAAGCUAGGGGAGCAAACAGG